rnacentral:tRNA from 1 species
GAAGGGCUACCCGACUUGGGGACGGGACCCGCUUGGAAAGCGGGCGAGCGAUGAGCCUUGCGGGUUCGACUCCCGCCCCUUCC